rnacentral:rRNA from 1 species
GUGGGGAAUCUUGGACAAUGGGCGCAAGCCUGAUCCAGCGACGCCGCGUGGGUGACGAAGGCCCUCGGGUUGUAAAGCCCUUUUGCCGGGGACGAUGAUGACGGUACCCGGCGAAUAAGCACCGGCUAACUCCGUGCCAGCAGCCGCGGUAAGACGGAGGGUGCUAGCGUUGUUCGGAAUUACUGGGCGUAAAGGGCGCGUAGGCGGCCUGUGAAGUCGGGUGUGAAAGCCCGGGGCUCAACCCCGGAACGGCACCCGAUACUCUCAGGCUCGAGACCGGGAGAGGUGGGUGGAAUACCCAGUGUAGAGGUGAAAUUCGUAGAUAUUGGGUGGAACACCGGUGGCGAAGGCGGCCCACUGGCCCGGUUCUGACGCUGAGGCGCGAAAGCGUGGGGAGCAAACAGG